rnacentral:misc_RNA from 1 species
AUUAUGUGAUUCUCUUGCAGGAGCUUGGGUGAAUGCUAUCUGCUAAGUUUAAUGUUUAAGCUUGUCAUCUCAUGAUGUAAAACUUGAUUGUGAGAUAGCCAGUUGCCAUCCAUCUUCCAUUUAAUCCUGUCAGAUUUACUUGCAUGUUGUUCAUUUGUUAAUGACAACUUGAAAUUUGUCUUGUAGUUUGGGGUAGUAGAUGAACCUG